rnacentral:miRNA from 1 species
UUAGGACUAUGGUUUGGACGA